rnacentral:tRNA from 1 species
UCCCUGGUGGUCUAGUGGUUAGGACUCUGUACUUCCAUUGCACAGGGUAUGGGUUUGAUCCCUGGUUGGGGAA